rnacentral:rRNA from 1 species
UUUAAUUAUAAGCUCAAUCAAGAUUACAUUACCUUUUGCAUCAUGAUUAAAUGACUAAAGUCCUCCAAAGAGAGUAGCUUCGAAACCGUGUGAUCUUACAUGCGCAAAAAGGUGAUUGGGUAAUUCACACACCUUAGCCCAUGUAAGAAGUGAUAAGUUACACGUACACGUUUAUAUCUAAUUAGGGGCCCUAGAUAAGGGUUAUUAUUUUAUUAUAAUGACCUAGAUUAUUUGCUUAUCUAUUAACUAAAGUACAAAUGGAUUAAUAUUAUCCUAAACCUUGUCACAAAGUAACCAUAAGACUAAGGAGCAAUUUAACAGUGCCCCUCAUAGUGCUAACACAUAAAUAAGAUUGUGUUAUAAAUAAGUAUACAAAUAAAGUAAUUUUUUCUCGUAAUAAUCCGAACUGUUUAUUAAAAACAUUUCCUAGCAAAAACUUUACUAGGUAUCCCCUGCUCAUCGUUGGCCAAACCAACAAGAAGCCGCAGUAUUUUGACUGUGCUAAGGUAGCAUAAUUAAUUGCCUCUUAAAUAGGGGAUUGUCUGAAUGGGGUAAUUGGGUUCAACUUAAAAAUUAUUUUGUAAGAAAUUAAUUUGUAGUUGCAGAAUACUACAUUUUUAUAUAAGACGGAAAGACCCUAAGAGCUUAAUUUUUUUUAUUUUGGGCAAAGCUACAUAUUUAUUUAGUUUAUAAACCUAUUGGGAUAAAACUAAAGUUACCUUAGGGAUAACAGGGUUAGAUGUAUUUAGAGUUCUUAUCAAUAUACAUAAUUGCCACCUCGAUGUUGACUUAAAUUUACUUUAUUGUGUAGAAGCUUUAGUAGUAAGCCUGUUCGGCUUUUAAAAUUUUUCAUGAGUUGAGUUAAGACCGGUGUAAGCCAGGUCGGUUCUUAUCUAUAAGUGGUCUACUAUAGUACGAAAGGAUUUAGUAGUAAAUAAUUUAUUAAAAAUUUUUACA